rnacentral:rRNA from 1 species
UGGGGAAUUUUCCGCAAUGGGCGAAAGCCUGACGGAGCAAGACCGCGUGAGGGAGGAAGGCUCUUGGGUUGUAAACCUCUUUUCUCUGGGAAGAACAAAAUGACGGUACCAGAGGAAUCAGCAUCGGCUAACUCCGUGCCAGCAGCCGCGGUAAGACGGAGGAUGCAAGCGUUAUCCGGAAUGAUUGGGCGUAAAGCGUCCGCAGGUGGCAAUUCAAGUCUGCUGUUAAAGCGCAGGGCUUAACCCUGUAAAGGCAGUGGAAACUGAAUAGCUAGAGUAUGGUAGGGGUAGAGGGAAUUCCCAGUGUAGCGGUGAAAUGCGUAGAUAUUGGGAAGAACAUCGGUGGCGAAGGCGCUCUACUGGACCAUAACUGACACUCACAGGACGAAAGCUAGGGGAGCGAAUGGGAUUAGAUACCCCAGUAGUCCUAGCCGUAAACGAUGGAUACUAGGUGUUGUCUGUAUCGACCCGGA